rnacentral:lncRNA from 1 species
UGGAGGACUGCGCUCCAGGAUGCAACCAAAGCCGGGUGCACAGCAGCCGGCAUGGCGCCAAAACUGAAGCCCUGAGCUGCUCUGCGGUGCUACCCUUUGUCCCUCCAGACUCUCUUUUCCUUCAUCUGUUUGUCAGUAAACCGAAGCCACCACAGUUUGUCAUUUGGAUGAUUUUCGAUGGAGAAGCUGCAGCUCCAGACUCUUGACAGCCGCACAACUUCCAAGGCAGUGGCCCCGCGGGCUGCAAACCCCACCUUCCUGCAGUUGCAGAGCCAGCUAAGAGGUGGGCAGCAUGCCAGGCCCCAUCAGCAGCCCCUGGAGCACACACCAAUUGCAGAUGCUCAGGAGACUCGGGGGAAGGAACGGGGUUUUCACCAGAACACCACAGGCAGGACCUCCCAGCAAAGGCCUCCAGAUGCUGUGAAAACCUAAGGCUCGUCCUCCUCCUGGCUUCCCAGGUUACCCAGCCACAACACACAGAUGCUGGGUCUGGGACGGCUCCACUGGAACCUGAGAUGACCUGAGGGUGUCCCAGUGAUAUAACAUAUGAGGAAAGCAGAAACAACUAAGAAAUAGACUCUGAAUGUGGCAGAUUCUAGAACUGAGCAAUGCAAGAACAGCCUAAUAAGCUGUGUGACUAAUCACUGCAUGAAACGGAGGGAGAGAGUUGUGCAGCUUCCAAGAACCUUCCUUAAGAGAUUAUGUCAGUUCACCCCUUGCCUUCUUCUUCUUCAUUCCUUCCUCCAUCCUGCUGACUAGAAUGAAGAGAUGUUGUCAUCUUGGACCAUGAGGUCAAGGCCAUGAGUGGACCAACAGGAUGUAAAUGUCAUGAGGGCAGGGAUUUUGUCUGUUCCCCAUUCCCCAGCUGCUGUGACCCCAAUGCCUAGUCGGUGCUAAAUAAAUAUUUGCUAAGUGAAUGAAUGAACGAACAAGCCUGGGAGUCCGAUACUGGGGAGGCAAAGUGAAUGAAUGAAUGAACAAGCCUGGGAGUCCGAUACUGGGGAGGCAAUGUCAGCCCCAGACCACCCACCUGGACUUUUACAUGAGUGAGAACCAAACUUCUACCUUGUUUAAACCAACCCUAAUCCUAUCAAUACAAUUUUUAAAAGUCCUAUCAUUGUUUUAGGCCAUAUAAAGUCUACCUAAAAUGUUAAGCUAAACCUCGGUAAAUUGAAUCACAUUUCCAAUGCAUUGUGAUAUUCAUUUUUUAAUGUUGUGGAUUAUUUUACAGAGCCAAAAUCCAUCCACUUGUAUGUUUAAUAAGUUUAGGUUUUAGUAAUUUGGGUUUCUAAAACCAAAAUCCACUUCCAAGAGUACUUUCUUACUAACAAUGCAAAGCACUGUAAAAAUUCAAUCCAGCAAUGAUUUUCUUAACAGCCCUAGAAUGUAAUAUAAGUGUUAUUAGAAUGUAAUAUAAGUGUUAUUAGAAUGUAAUAUAAGAGUUAGUAUCAAAGGCAGCAUCUUACAAGAUAGAGAUGAGCUAAUUUCCUUUCCCAACUCAGGGAAAAUUUUCCAUUUUCAUUCUGUGCCCAUUACACUUCACUGCUCUUAAAUUGAAUAAGAAGUUUACAUCGGAGACUAGGAGUUUACAUAGGAGUGGCAGAUUUUAAGCAAAAACAAGUGUUUUUUGCUUUUUAAGAAAAACAUUUCAUUUCAUUCUCUCAAGUUUUCAGCCCUGCUGACCUCUGAGAAGAAUUACACCUUUAUACAUUGCUUUCUUAAAGGAAAAAAAAAAAAACUUUGAAAAAAAAAAGGGCUUGAUUAAUUAACUUUGGUAUGCAAACCGGUGGGGGUAAAA